rnacentral:rRNA from 13 species
CGGGGCUAAACGCAUCACCGAAGCUGCGGACUGUUCUUCGAACAGUGGUAGGAGAGCGUUCUAAGGGCUGUGAAGCCAGACCGGAAGGACUGGUGGAGCGCUUAGAAGUGAGAAUGCCGGUAUGAGUAGCGAAAGAGGGGUGAGAAUCCCCUCCACCGAAUGCCUAAGGUUUCCUGAGGAAGGCUCGUCCGCUCAGGGUUAGUCGGGACCUAAGCCGAGGCCGAAAGGCGUAGGCGAUGGACAACAGGUUGAUAUUCCUGUACCACCUCCUCACCAUUUGAGCAAUGGGGGGACGCAGGAGGAUAGGGUAAGCGCGGUAUUGGAUAUCCGCGUCCAAGCAGUUAGGCUGGGAAAUAGGCAAAUCCGUUUCCCAUAAGGCUGAGCUGUGAUGGCGAGCGAAAUAUAGUAGCGAAGUUCCUGAUUCCACACUGCCAAGAAAAGCCUCUAGCGAGGUGAGAGGUGCCCGUACCGCAAACCGACACAGGUAGGCGAGGAGAGAAUCCUAAGGUGAUCGAGAGAACUCUCGUUAAGGAACUCGGCAAAAUGACCCCGUAACUUCGGGAGAAGGGGUGCUCUGUUAGGGUGCAAGCCCGAGAGAGCCGCAGUGAAUAGGCCCAGGCGACUGUUUAGCAAAAACACAGGUCUCUGCGAAGCCGUAAGGCGAAGUAUAGGGGCUGACGCCUGCCCGGUGCUGGAAGGUUAAGAGGAGCGCUUAGCGUAAGCGAAGGUGCGAAUUGAAGCCCCAGUAAACGGCGGCCGUAACUAUAAC